rnacentral:lncRNA from 1 species
GAUUUGGAUGUUGAUCCUGGUUCUCUGAGUAGUUUUUAUGUGGGGGCAUCAUGUAUAUUAAUGUGGCAGAAUGCAAAGAAUGGAAGAGUAGAGUAACGUCAUACCAACCUUUAGAAGACCAGAUCGAGGAUCACCAGCAGCAGGAUGACUCUUGUGAUUACCAGGAUGACAGAGAAGAAUAAGAACCUAAAAUCAGGAAAAUAAAAUUCGGUUCUCAACAGAGAAAGUAAUCUGGCGACAAACAAAGCCCAGACAUGCAAAAGAAAUGGCAAACAUCUCAAAGCAAUUUAGGGGAUUAUUAGCACUAUAAACUGUAAUGUAUCAGAACAAUCACCAAAAAUAGCUGAAUGAAGCUCAGGUCUGCUGAUUUCUCUCACUUCAUUCUAAAGGUUUCGGACGAUCCAGGGUGUUUAAGAAGGUAGUUGGCCGACAGACAGCCUUCGGUACCUCCGGUGCUUUCCUCUAUUACAUCUAUAGCUGCCCAACUCAAAUUGACAGCUAUUUUGUUCUAUGUAAUAUUAAUAGUAAAGGAAGGUAUAGAGAAAUUUCCUGGAAUUGCGAUAUAAAACUACAAUACUAAGGAAGGUAUAGAGAAAUUUCCUUGCAUUGCAAUAUAAAACUACAAUACUAAGGGCAAGUACAUUACUAAAUGUAAGCGGUCUCAUAGGUCAUCUCAUGAAGUUAUCGUGAAACAACCGCCUUAUAAGCUAAAAUUUAAGACUUACUCACAAUUCUAUGAGUUGUUGCUACCAUGCAAUUCACAAAGUUUAUUUUAUUCGGUCCACAAAUUAAGAGAUGUGAUAAGCAGUGAUAAAGGUAAUUAUGAAGGAUUCUUACAAUUCCUUCCUUGUGGUCUCAUCCAAAAUAACUUCUCCAUUCACUUCAUACAAUUGCUCCAAUUGAUCUUUCCAGGCUUUUCCGGUUCCCCCAAAGAACUAUCAUAAUUCAUAAGGCAUCCUUGGUGUUUUUUUCACCUGUAUUUCUAAUUUUUUGAUAUUAUCACUAGUAUAGAGAACUGACCUUCUAUCCAACCCCUUUAGUCCCGGUUAACAUUGAACCUGUGGCUAAAGUGGCUUUAGUCCUGGGUCAAAAAUAUGCCAUCAAAGGCCACCGCGGGGGAAGGGGAGAGGGGAGCUUUAGUCCUGGUUGUAAAUACCAACCGGACCCCUUUACUCCUAGUUGUAAUGUCUAGAAAUAUCGCACCGACGGCUUUAGUUCCAACCAGGAUAAAAUCUCCUCCCCUAUAAAACCAUCAGACCGAGAGCUCUUCUUCCUCCUUAGCCCGAGCCACUCCACUCCACAAGAGACAUUUGGCCUCCUCUCCAUGGCGAGCAAGCAACCUUAGGGGAGGUGCUACCUGAAUUUUUUCCCUCAUUUUCGUGGGGAUUUCACUCAUCCAAAGUGUUGUGAAGGUUAGCUACUUCAUCCUCCCUUCAUUUAUUAUUAUCAUGCUUUGUUUUAUGCUUUAGAAAGGAAGAAAAAUUAUUUUUUUAGAACGAGGGAGAAUGGAGAGAAUUUUAUUUUUACAUGUUUUUGAGCUAGAAUUUGAUGGAUACUUGCUUGUUAUAUAUGAUUCGUAUUAGUUAAAAGAACUUGAUCAAUAUUAGGUAUGAGAAAAAAAUAGAGUAAAUGUGUUUUUAAUAUUUAGUCAUUGCAAUAAAAUUAAGGUAAAUAAAUUGUAGGUGUAAGAAAAUAGAAUUUGAUCAUUGCUACAAUUUUUCAUGUCACUUUAAUUUAAC